rnacentral:lncRNA from 1 species
CCCAGCGUGCCAGCCCCGGAGUUCAGCCUCCCGAGCUGCGGCGCCCGCAGCGGAGGAGGUUUUCAGUGGCUGAUUGAAACUCACUGCAAAAUCACCACGACUCUUUCACCUACUGAGAUGAUUGACCGAGGUUUGGCCUUCCAUUUUUACUGAGAUUUGGCGAGACCGAAUGGAAGCGUCCGCACAGUAACUGCAGCUGCUAGGCCAGAGGGGCCCCGGCGCCCUUCCCGCCUCCCCUCCCGCUUGCUUUUGCCUUACUCGAUCUUACCACCACCCCUCCCCCGGCCCCCCGACUGAGAACUCGGGCCUCUCACCCGCCCCCCAGCCUCCCGCUCUGGGCGAGCCUCCUCCCCAGCCCCCACCCCUGGGAUGCGAAGCCAGCAAGCUUUUGCUGCAGAUGGACAGGUUUCUUUUCUGUGGCUUUUUCCUUUCGAUAAACCAUCAGAUUUCAGUAGUACAUUUGGGAAAAGAAGGGGCUGAUGGCGUUAACCAGGUUCUCAAUAUAGAACUGGAUUUCUGGAGUUGUUUACCUUACCCCACACCCCCUCAACAUGUAGACUAAUGCAGCCAUUGGUGGUACAUUUAUUUUAGCCACGGAUAAUUGAACCAGCGGUUUACAAUUGACACGUGCUCCGUGCUGGUGAUUUUAUGUGGCAGCCCUCUGCUGCAGUUCCGAAACUUGUUGGCAACGUAAACCCAUUGAUAGGCUGAUCUAUGUAUUUUGAAAGCCUGAAAACUUGGCAUGUCUUUUCUGUUUUAAUCAUAGAUGAAUCUUGGACAUUUUCUGUGGUGAGGUGGAAACUUUAAGUAAAUUAGUAAAGUAAUAAUUUGGCUUCAGAAUGGGAAGAGAUAGUCAAGAUUUUUUUUUUUUAAAGCCAUGUGGCCUAACUUGAUACAAAAAUAAAAGUAAUUGUUUGGCAAUCUAAAUUUAAAACCUGUUAGAACUCAGGACAGGCGCUUCAAUGCGCUUUUUAACAAUAUUUAAGGCUGUUUUGAUGAGUGCGUUGUGAGAAUCAUCUUAAUGAAUUCUUUAUUGAGUGUCUAAAACAUAGUAUAAUACACAUGGUAUUCUUGCCACUGGAUAGUCUUCAAUAAAAGUUUAAUUGAUUUUUUUUUGUUGGUCUCUUAAGUAAGUCUUAUUUUUAACUAAGCAUUGACAGAAUAUCUUAAAAUGGUAACCUGGGGGUGGCGGGUGGGUGCUGUGUGCACGGCAGCCUAGCCAGUGGGGAUCCUGCUGUUUAUUAUAAGUAGUUCACAGACUCUGAUGGCAUUUUGGUAAGCUUUCCAUCUUUAAGAAAUUGAACCAGCAUUCUCUUAUUAAUUCUUUAAACUGUGGAAGUAAUUUCCAGUUCUUACACUCUGAUACGCAUCCCUUUUAUUUAAAAAAAAAAAAAAUGCUAAUAAAAGGCAGUGUACUUAAACUGUGCUUUGCAAAUAUUGUGUAUGUUAUGAAUGACUACAGACACUGGGCAAAUUAUUUGUAGAAUGAUUAUCCUUUAGCUAGAGAAAGAAAUCAUUACAACUCUUUUGGGCAGAGAUGUUUCUUUUUAAUGUUAAUCAAGGGGAAGUGAUUUAAAUAUGCAUAAAUGUAGCAGUCAGGGUGAUUUAGUUGCUUUUUUCAUGAAAGAAAAAGACUCAAAAGACAAGACUUAUUUUUCUCUUCUGGGACUUGAAAUCAUAAUCAUCUGAUAUUAGUACAGUACAAGAAAUUUACAUUUGUUUUUUACUUCAGAAUUUAAGUGACUUUUGCCCAAGGAAUUUGAGAAAUAAGGCAAAUAAGUUGCUCUAUUUUAAAGUAGUCAUUCAAUAUAAAUAUAUUAUAUCAAUCUUAACUUUUUUAUUCUCUGAUAUGAUUAAUAAUAUGUAUAUUCUUACUUUUCUUCUAAUGGGCAUAUGUAUCCUUGUGGACACUUUGAGAGAGGUUUUCUUGGACUCUCCCAUUUAUAGAAUCUUUAUACUCUUUUACUGUGUGGUUCCCUGCUUUUAACAGAUUUCUGAGGCAAAUAUAUUUGUGCUUUUUUCUUAUGUAGGAAGACCAGCGAAAAUAGUUUACUGAGUUGUCAAUUUUAUCAGUAGAUAAGAAACUUUCUUUAUUACAGUUUCAGGGAAGAUUUUUUCAGGAUAUUUCUCAGUUAUUCUAAGGGCCAAAUUUUGUAAAAUUUCCAUUAGGAAUGUCAGUUUCAAAUACCCUUUGUAUAGCCUAAGCCUGUGAGGAUAACAAGAAUGAGCCUUACCUAUCCUAACACAGGGAUUUACAAGUUCCCAAAGUAACCGUCUCCAUGUAACUCUUGACAUACUUUUCUGAGAUUUGGCUUAUUUUUAUUAUUGGUUAUUUCUCACUGUUCAUUCUAUUUGAUUUAUUCUACAACAUCCCCUUUUAUUUAAUGAUCUGGAAAAUUCUGCUCUUUGAUAACAACUCAGGAUUUUUUUGUUCAGUUUUGGUUUUUGCCCCUUCCUGUGGAGCCUACAUUUUCAACCACAAUAAAGAUGAAACAAAAUUUAUGAAACUGAGCUCUCUUCCAUUUUACUUACUGCUGGCUUUUUUUUUUUUUUUUUUCCUUGAUUCCUACCAUACCUUCGUUUUUUUCAUUGUACUUUUUUAACACUACCUAUAUCCAUUAGCUGCCUAAUUAGUUUUAUCUGUUCCAUGUGGAUGCAGUGAGUUUAUAAGAGAAUUUCACAAACAAGUAGUUUUUUAGUGAACUUAAAAUAAACAGAAUUUUAAAGGAGACCUAUUUUUAUACUCAAUAAAAGCACAAAAGUGCAGAAAGUAUAAAACGGCUUACAAAGGGAGACACAAGCUCAUAAUGUUCCAUGUAUAAAAGUAAUAACUUUAUUGGGUAGAGAUAUUCUUACAAGAUCUAGCACCUCUGCCAGUGCACAGAUAGGACUGUUUUAAAUGAUUUGGGAACUUUUGGUUGCCUGCAGUUGUGAACAGAGAACUUCUCUACAGAGAAACAAACCACUAAAAGCAAUAUGACCGAGUUGAGAUGUGGUUUCCAAUGAGCAAUUGGUGAAUUUAAGCAACCUGGAUGUGCAUAUGUGGAGGCUCCCGUCUCACUGUUUGAUCAAACUUCUUUUAUGUAGUCACGUAGACUUGAUUUUUUCUGCUGUGAAAAUGAAAAAAUAAAGCAAUAUGACAAAAAGUUUAAAAAUGCAUAAAAAAUAGGAUUUCCUCUAGGCUCCUCGAAGAGAUUUUUUUAAUAUGAUGCUUGUCUUACUUUCUUAGACACGUUACAUUUCCCCUUCCAAAAAAAAAAAAAAGGACAACUGGAAGUAAUUUAUCAUAUAAAGAAUUUUGAUCAAAUAGAUAUUGACAAAGGGCCCUCUGUCACAUUUUUCUUCAUCCAGCUUUUGUUCAAAAACAGUAUGCCUCCUCCCUUGAAUCACAUAGGGAGAAACGUUAUACUCCAUUCUCAUUAAUUUCCCAUUUUGUCUACUUUUACUCUUGUACAUAUGUUGUGGGUUUAAGAGUCUUUUGCAUUUGUUCUGUGACACCUUUUUUUGAAUUGACUGUUUUAAAACGGAGGCCUAUUUUUUCCGGUUUGGGACUCCUAGUGGUUAUGGCAUCCCAUAAUGCUUCGUGACGGCCACCAGGACAGAACCACCUGAUGUUUUAGAGCAGUUUUCAGCAUGACACUGUUAACAAGUGUGUAUUUUCCAAGGCCACAUGAAACUUACUUUCUUAGCCACUCCAGGUUUGGGAGCAGAAAAGCUGAAAAACCCUUUUGUGUAGAAGUCUGAGUGGUUUGUGGGGGGGACCUUUUUUAGAGUUUGCAUGCCAGCGCACGGCCUAUUGCUGUGAAACAGAGAGAAGGUAAAGCUACCUGAGGCAGUGCGCUGGAGGAUGAAGUGUUUGAUAGCACUAGGGGGGAAAGAAAAUGCAUGGCAAAGUUUCGUCUUCUCGUAGACUAUCUAGCAUGCAGAGUGUAGUGUGUUGAAACGGUGUAUGACAUUGCUGUAUCAAAGUUGUAAAAUUAAGCAUUAUUUAUUGAAAACUAUGUAUUUUUUUGUAAAAACCUGAUCACAUAGAGAAUAUCAGUGGCUUGUGCUUGUGCUUCGAUCUAACCAGCUUCUUGACCCACCCCCCCUUGGUAUGCAGUGUUAAUGCUCAGGGUUGAAAAUAGUACACUCCAAUGUCUCUUUUGCAAGAGUUUUUCACAGAGGAUUACAUUUGUUCAAAAGACUCUAAUAAAAUUGUGUGAUCAAUCUUCACUUGUGGUUUUUAUGUGACUUUUUUCUAGUUUUGCAUUUGAUAACUGCUGUUUAAUUCUGAAAAUGUUGUCUCAAACCAGAUGUCAGGGACAGGCUUGAAGAUUCCUGAUGUCUCAGCACCCAGCACGGCUGUCAGCCUCGGCAGGAGGAAGACCACGGAAAAGAGAGAUGACCAUGUGACCAGGAAAACCCCUCUACAAGGAAGCAUACAUAGUGGGUAUGCACCUUUCUGCAUUUGUUUCUUCCUUCCAUUUGGGAUGUAGGUGAGAUGGCUUGAGCUGCAGGUGUGAUCUUAUGAUCAGGAAAGAGGAAAAAGAAAUUUCAGAUUCCUUGACCAGCCAUGACAAACUUGAGCCACUGAAUCACUGCCAACUGCUGCGUUGUGUUUGAGUAAGCUACA